rnacentral:rRNA from 1 species
AGGGUUCGAUUAUGGCUCAGAUUGAACGCUGGCGGCAUGCCUAAUACAUGCAAGUCGAACGGAAACGAUGGAAGCUUGCUUCCAGGCGUCGAGUGGCGGACGGGUGAGUAAUACUUAGGAAUCUGCCUAUUAGUGGGGGACAACUCGAGGAAACUCGAGCUAAUACCGCAUACGCCCCAAGGGGGAAAGCGGGGGAUCUUUCGGGACCUCGCGCUAAUAGAUGAGCCUAAGCCGGAUUAGCUUGUUGGUGGGGUAAAGGCCUACCAAGGCGACGAUCCGUAGCUGGUCUGAGAGGACGAUCAGCCACACUGGGACUGAGACACGGCCCAGACUCCUACGGGAGGCAGCGGUAGGGAAUAUUGCACAAUGGGCGAAAGCCUGAUGCAGCAAUGCCGCGUGUGUGAAGAAGGCCUUAGGGUUGUAAAGCACUUUCAAUAGUGAAGAAAAGCACAAGGAUAAUACCCUUGUGUCAUGACGUUAACUAUACAAGAAGCACCGGCUAACUCCGUGCCAGCAGCCGCGGUAAUAC